rfam:Ictidomys tridecemlineatus contig035470, whole genome shotgun sequence.
GGAGGUGUAGCUCAGUGGUAGAGUGCUUGCCUAAUAUGUGCAAGGUCCUGGGUUCAAUUCCCAGCAUUGCCA